rnacentral:tRNA from 1 species
GCGCUAAUGGGGCAGUGGUUAGCCUGUCACCUUCCCAUAUUAUCUAUCAUCAGUGAAAAGGUGGAGACACGAGUUCGACUCUCGUUUAGCGCA